rnacentral:RNase_P_RNA from 1 species
GCUACAGGGAGCUCUAUCGCGUUUUGGCGGAGAUUUGCCGGCAGAAUGAGGAAAAUCCGGACAACGUAGAGCACCGCACCAUCUAACGGAUGGGUCCCGUUAUAUGACGGGAACAGAAAGUGUCGCAGAAACUAUACCGCCUUGUUACGGUGAGGUAAGGGUGAAAACGUGCGGUAAGAGCGCACGUCUUGUGAUGGUAACAUCGCAGGAGGAUAAACCUUGCGGGUUGAAAUGCCACGUAUAUUUCGCUCUACCCUCGGGUAGGAA